UACGAAGGGGGCUAGCGUUGCUCGGAAUCACUGGGCGUAAAGCGCACGUAGGCGGAUUUCUAAGUCAGGGGUGAAAUCCUGGAGCUCAACUCCAGAACUGCCUUUGAUACUGGGAAUCUCGAGUCCGGGAGAGGUGAGUGGAACUGCGGGUGUAGAGGUGAAAUUCGUAGAUAUUCGCAAGAACACCAGUGGCGAAGGCGGCUCACUGGCCCGGUACUGACGCUGAGGAGCGAAAGCCAGGGGAGCAAACGGG
rnacentral:rRNA from 1 species